GAGCUGUCUCAUUAGUAAUAAUCUCAACUACCGCCUGUAGUAAUGCGGUUGAGCAUAGAUAAUCGGAGUUCUAUAUCCAUAAGUGCCAUCUUUUGCCCAAGUAGCAGGUCCAUAAUAAUUAAUAAUACGUUGAGGGGGCCACUCAUUAUCUUCCCAGCUACCUAUAUUCAAGGAUGCUCUCUCCCUUUUAUGAUUUACAUCGUAAACCUUAACUCCCAAGGUCUCUCCUGU